rnacentral:ncRNA from 1 species
ACCAGGGGCCCUGGCAAGGGUCUCCGGGGCGUGCUCCAGCCAACCAGCCGAGCCGUUCCGUGACUGUACUGCCCACAAGGCGGACUGACGAGGUUGCGACUGGAACGAGUCGUCCCGAGGGACGGGGUAGCGAUUGACGCAUCAGCCAGUCUGACCAGCUUCUCGUUGUUGUAGCGCACACGGCAGCCACGCCGGCUGUGGGCGCAGCAACCGGAACCAGCCAGCCCGGCGGUCGUAUC